UGGGGAAUUUUGGACAAUGGGCGAAAGCCUGAUCCAGCAAUGCCGCGUGUGUGAAGAAGGCCUUCGGGUUGUAAAGCACUUUUGUCCGGAAAGAAAUCCUUGGCUCUAAUACAGUCGGGGGAUGACGGUACCGGAAGAAUAAGCACCGGCUAACUACGUGCCAGCAGCCGCGGUAAUACGUAGGGUGCAAGCGUUAAUCGGAAUUACUGGGCGUAAAGCGUGCGCAGGCGGUUUGCUAAGACCGAUGUGAAAUCCCCGGGCUCAACCUGGGAACUGCAUUGGUGACUGGCAGGCUAGAGUAUGGCAGAGGGGGGUAGAAUUCCACGUGUAGCAGUGAAAUGCGUAGAGAUGUGGAGGAAUACCGAUGGCGAAGGCAGCCCCCUGGGCCAAUACUGACGCUCAUGCACGAAAGCGUGGGGAGCAAACAGGAUUAGAUACCCUGGGUAGUCCACGCCCUAAACGAUGUCAACUAGUUGUUGGGGAUUCAUUUCCUUAGUAACGUAGCUAACGCGUGAAGUUGACCGCCUGGGGAGUACGGUCGCAAGAUUAAAACUCAAAGGAAUUGACGGGGUCAUAGCUGUUUCCU
rnacentral:rRNA from 1 species